AAGUGGGCUGGCUCCUGCAUGCAGAUGUCCCCUGCUUGCGUGGUAUAAACUCAGAGAGUGGGGGCUGCUCCCUUGGCAGGUUCUGAACGCUCCUGGAGGAAGAAGGAGAACACACAUGACCAUGUGCUUGAAAUAUUACUGGCAAGACAGACCAGAUCUGGCGAACUGCUGGUAUCUGAUUGGAAAACGAGAAAACAGCGGAUCCCUCNCGCACCCGACCUUCCUCGUAGACUGUUCCAGCGGGAGAAAGGAACUGCUGAACGCACGGCCUGACAGCAAAAUAUACAGGCGACCUCUCAACCGCUUCCCCUCCAGACCCAGGAUGGAGACUUACGUGAUAUUCUGCUGUGACGUGUCCGUUUAUGGCCGCCAGAUUGUCCAAAGCAAAGGAAGCGAGGAGGACGUGUCCUGCACUCCAGCCCGAGUCUCAGCUUCAUCCCAGCCGGGCACUGGAGCGUCUGUGGAGGCACCUGAGUCCUUCAAGAGCAAGGCUCCAGUCUCUAUACAGCAGCAAUGCCACCUUAGGAGUUGUGCUAAGAGUAAUGCUGCAGCUGGGGGGUCUGGUUCCAGGUCCCUACAGCGCUCUCCUUGGUGCAUGGUCAAACACUUUCUGAAGGGCUUAGCCCUGUGUGUCUUUGGGCAAACUGAUUGAGAGUAUCCAGGCAGUGGGUAAAAGGAAACAGUCUUAUUUAAUGCAAUGUAUAACUGACCUGCAGAACUCAUCCCCUGUGGGGUGUUAUUGAGGCUAAUACGGUAAAAUUUAAGAAUGGUUCAGGCCCUUCUAUGACCAAGAGUAAUACCUACAAGACAGGGGCUAUUAAUCCUCAUGCUUUGUAAACUAAUCGCCGGCUGACAAUAGGAAUAAACUUCCCUCCCAGGUGAUGGCUUGGAUUAGA
rnacentral:lncRNA from 1 species